UACAGAGGUCCCAAGCGUUGUUCGGAUUCAUUGGGCGUAAAGGGUGCGUAGGCGGCGCGGUAAGUCGGGUGUGAAAUCUCGGAGCUUAACUCCGAAACUGCAUUCGAUACUGCCGUGCUUGAGGACUGGAGAGGAGACUGGAAUUUACGGUGUAGCGGUGAAAUGCGUAGAUAUCGUAAGGAAGACCAGGUGGCGAAGGCGGGUCUCUGGACAGUUCCUGACGCUGAGGCACGAAGGCCAGGGGAGCAAACGGG
rnacentral:rRNA from 1 species